UCCCCGAUAGCUCAGUUGGUAGAGCAAAUGACUGUUAAUCAUUGGGUCGCAGGUUCGAAUCCUGCUCGGGGAGCCA
rnacentral:tRNA from 2 species